rnacentral:lncRNA from 10 species
UAUCUUAUUUUUAAAAGAGUUUCCUUAAAAUUAGGUAAACAGUUUGUAUAUACUGUCCCAAGUUCACUUGGUCAAAAGUUAACAGUACGGGGUCAUCAAGUAAAUUAAACAUUAACAGCAAAAAUUAAAGGACUUAAAUUAAAAACACAGGGUCUAAUCCUAUGAUGAAAAAAUAAGGAAAAAGUAUUCCCAUAAGAGCUAUAAACUGCUCACCUAUUUAUUAAAGGGUUACUGUAGGUAGGUGAGAAUAAAUUUGUUCUCAGUAGCCUCAGGGGACACUUAGACAAUGGGUGGCAGUAAGAAGAGACAUAUUUUAACUCUUAAGAUUCUAUGAUUCCAAUCCUGAAUAGGCUAAAUUUCCUUUAUUAAGCUCUCACAAAGUAUAUAUUAUUUCAAAAGCAGUGUUUCAAAACACCAUAUUUAAUAUCUCAUUUAAGGCCAACAUUUUAACAUUAAUUUUAGAAAGAAGAUUAACAAAAACAAAUGGGUUUAUCCCUUUCCAGGAAUCAUUAUUGGUACGUGAAAAAAAAAAAUCCAUACUUCCCAGCCAGGUGCAGUG